GGCGGCUCUCCGAGCGGCGCGCGGGCGGCGGUGGUUCUUCAUGGCGGUGCGGGGCGUACGGCGGGUAGCGGAGGCUGUUCAGCGCCUCCCGGCCGUCGGCACGGAGCAGGGCCGAGCGGAGGUGGAACCAAAGCACAGUUGUGCCUCCCCACAGGACGCACCAGUGAAGAUGUAGUCAAACUUGUUCUCCAGCAGCCUGGUGAUCUCCUCCCUGCCAGCAGUCACCAUGGUGAAGCAGUCCUGUGGUUUAGGAGAAUGAUACAGGAUACAGCUCA